rnacentral:rRNA from 1 species
UACGUAGGGGGCAAGCGUUGUCCGGAUUUAUUGGGCGUAAAGGAGCGUGUGAGCGGCCUGACAGGUCUGCUGUGAAAACUCGAGGCUCAACCUCGAGAUGUCGGCGGAAACCGUCUGGCUAGAGUCCGGAAGAGGAGAGUGGAAUUCCUGGUGUAGCGGUGAAAUGCGCAGAUAUCAGGAAGAACACCUAUGGCGAAGGCAGCUCUCUGGGACGGUACUGACGCUGAGACGCGAAAGCGUGGGGAGCGAACAGG